AACCAGUGGAGUGUGUCCCAGAGAAGAGGAAGGGACAGCACCCUAAUCUGGUGCUGUCCCUUCCUCUUCUCUGGGACACGCUCAGAGGGA
rnacentral:pre_miRNA from 1 species